AAUAUAAAAAGGAGGUUGCUGGGAACCAAUAAGAAUAUAAAAAGAAGGUUGCUGGGAACCAAUAAGAAUAUAAAAAAAGGAGGUUGCUGGAAACCAAUAACAAUGAAAAAGGAGGUUGCUGGAAACCGAUUUUUAACUUUAAUAAUUUAUUUAAGUUUAAGGAUGUGGGCACAAGCUCAUGCAUACAAAUAAAACGAUAUAUUAA